rnacentral:tRNA from 1 species
AAUAAAGUGCCUGAUAAAAGGGUUAUCUUGAUAGGAUAAAUCAUAUACAAUUUUUGUAUCUUUAUUA